UGUAAAAAAUUUCCGGGAUUUCACAAGAUGUAACUGUGAUAUUUCACAGUAAAUUACAUUAUUAGCAUGUCACAGGCUUUAGCUGUGACAUUUCACAAUAUAGUACAGUAUUCAGACUUUUAUUGUGAAAAUAAUGCCAUCGGCGAAAUCACAGGGAACGGCUGUAAGUUCCGACGCGCGCUAUCUGUUUGGGUUCUCUCAUCUCUGCGGUCUCAUCCAACGGAUUCUGUGGUAAGUGUUAAAAUGUCAAAUUUUGUCAAAUAAAUGAUUGAUUUAUUUUCAAAAUAUAUGUCAUAGUGCAUGGAGUAUUAUCCAAAUGUCGUUAUUUGUAGGUUUCGCGUGGGUUGAACCGCUGAAUUUAAAAAUAAAGCAAUGAACAGAUGUUGGUAGUGUUACUGUGAGACCUUUUAGGAGCUUUAUUAAAAAUAAAACAUUAUUUGUUAACUUGAGCUUUUCUUAGUGCUAAGCUAACAGCUUUCUCUCUUUUCUUCCUACACAGCAUCUUUCUGCGGUAUCCACUGGGGAGUAAAGUUAUGAGGUAUUUUUUCCACACUUCACAAGGAUGGGGACAUCACUCAGAAGAGUGAAGUUUCGAGAAGCCCUGGAUAACAACUACAAUAACAUUCUGAAGUUCGUCCAAGAAAUCAACUAUCAUCAACGGGGUGCUUCUUGGGCAUUAAUUCGGAGACAGACAGGCAGAAAGGACAGAAACAACAAGCUGCAAGUCUGUACACUGAUUAGAAAACUUAUGACUUGAAUGGAUGUCAGUCUAGUGUGUCACAAAUACUAGUUCUUUGUUUAGCUAGAGGCGAUUGUACACUUUGUACUCUUACAAUGUUCUAUAUCAGGAGUCUCCAACGUGGUGCCCAUGGGCAGCAGGUAGCCCGCACAGAUGAGGUGCCCACCAAAUCACAUUCCAUUAAUAGUCUAAAUUGUAAUAUUUGUUGAUUACAUAUUUUUUAUAUUGACUUGGCUUGGUUUACAUAUGUUACAAUUUUAAACAAUACAAAAACAUAUCAAAAAGUACAAUGAAAUAAAAUCAACAAGUAAAACAAAAAAAGUUUUGAGUAGACUAUAUCAAAAGUUAGCCCUCCAGAAUGUUUUAUCCAUUGUGGUAGUCCUUGCUCACAAAAAGGUUGGAGACCCCUGUUCUAUAUUGUGUCUGUUACAUAAAGAUACAUGAAGAAAUUAGUGAAUGUCAGUCUACAUUGUAAAAAUAAAAUAUUUGUUGCACUUAUUUUUUAAGU